rnacentral:rRNA from 1 species
GACGAACGCUGGCGGCGUGCUUAACACAUGCAAGUCGAGCGGAAAGGCCACUUCGGUGGUACUCGAGCGGCGAACGGGUGAGUAACACGUGAGUAAUCUGCCCCUGGCUUUGGGAUAGCCACCGGAAACGGUGAUUAAUACCGGAUACGACCACUUCUCGCAUGGGAUGGUGGUGGAAAGUUUUUUCGGCCAGGGAUGUGCUCGCGGCCUAUCAGCUUGAUGGUGAGGUAAUGGCUCACCAUGGCUUCGUCGGGUAGCCGGCCUGAGAGGGUGACCGGUCACACUGGGACUGAGACACGGCACAGACUCCUACGGGAGGCAGCGGUGGGGAAUAUUGGACAAUGGGCGGAAGCCUGAUCCAGCAACGCCGCGUGAGGGAUGACGGCCUUCGGGUUGUAAACCUCUUUCAGCAGGGACGAAGCGCAAGUGACGGUACCUGCAGAAGAAGCACCGGCCAACUACGUGCCAGCCGCCGCAGUAA